AGCGUCCUGGUGGCCGCUGCCCAUUUGAAUGUUUCAUGCUGGAGCAUUUCGGAUUCUUGGUGGUGGAGACUGGAGCUUUGCGGGGCAUGGUGGCCUUUCCCUGAACUUCUUUCAGGCCAGGAGCCAGGGGGGCUGAAUUUAACCUCUUCCUCCAGUCUUGCUCCUUCUCGCGGGAUCCUGACGGUCUUGCCUGCAUUGACUGUAGCAGUUGCAGCCUGUCCUUUGCAGAUCUCUUCUGGGUCAGCCUUGAAUGCCACUUGUCACCAAAGCAUCCUGAUGAAGCAUCCUCAGGGAAACCAGGCCACAGAAGGAAUGGAGGGAUGAGAGCUGUGGCCCCUUCAACUGCAGCACACUCAGUUUGCACUCAGUGGGAGGCUGGGCAGGAAGGAGAUGAGUGUUGCAAAAGUGGAAAAGAGCGCCACUCAGAAUGAGUCCACUCCAGGCACCAGCAUCAGACACCAGACACCAGACAUCAACAGAACAUCAGACAGAACAUCUUAGGAAGCUAAGGAAAGCACAGCACAUUUAACACGUCUCUGCUGUUGGGUAGAUGAAAUGACAGGAGAUCAUCGGAGGCUAUCAUGGGAAGCCCAGCGGGUGUGGUUGCCACUUGACUUUCAUUGUGGAAUUGGAAUGAUUCGGUGUCUUCAGCUCAACAAACGCUUGACAAACGGCAAAAGGAGCCCCUUGAGAGCUCCAGCUUCCAUCAUCUCUGGAAGUUUCGCAUCAUCCUUGAAAUCUGUGGGAGGCUGAUGCCCCAGACAAGUCACCUGCGGAAUUCAGGAUCUUCAUGUUCAUCUUCAGCCACUUCUGGGCUAAGUUGGCAACAGAGAGGAGCCUUGGGAUCCCUGUUUCACCUGCUCCGCCUGGCACAUCCUCUUCCUGUACUCCGUGGGAACGUCUGUGGUUUCAUGGUGCCGCUCAGCUGUAAACGAUUUUAUGUACUUACAUUUGUGACUGGAAUCCUGUAGGGCAUUAUUCUGAUUAUAGCUCACCAUCCUUUUCAGCAGCUUUCAGAGAAGUAAUUUGUACAACGAGAUGAGGCUCUUCAGGCUGCAAGAAUGUCAGGAAUUCUCGGGCGCACCAGUGGCCCCUGCCUCCUGGAAUCCACAUGCUCUCGACUCUUUCUUAGGAGAGGGAUCAAGGGUCUGGUUUCCCCAAACACUUCCCAGGGGAGAUCCCACACAGAGCAUGUUUAAAUUGCCAAGCCACCUUGCAAAGGUCCUUUUCUCCCCCAAACUUCACUCAGCUCCCUUAAAAGUAGUUUUGGGUGAAUUUUAUGGUAUGUAAAUUAUAUCUCAAUAAAACUGUUACAAAAUAUAGUGGUUUGUAAGCUACCUAUAAUCAAACACUGAAAUGGAUGUAUCAUGCAGGUAAUCAGAGCUGUGCACCAAGGGGUGACCACGGGAGCUGUGGGCCAAGGGGAAGGUCUUGAGACAGACACUGAAUGACUGUAAGAUUUGAUUAGAAGAGGUGUCAGAAUUAAAAUCUGGGGCCAUCUGUCUAGAAUGAGCUAAGUUGUUUCCUUCCUCCCUCUCUCUCUCCUUUCUUCCCUCCUCCUUCUCCACCAUCUCUUUUAUUUUUCAACUAAUAAUGGCCCUGCUCAUUGAUAGGGGUGGGAUAUUGCCAGUCAUACUAUAGUUUGACAGUUCAUUCUUUGACGUGGACUCACUUCACAUCCUCGUGGAGGAUCCUGUGAGCCCCCGUAUCUGGCCUUUGCCCGCUGGGAAUUCACAGGCUCCGGGAAGAGGACACACCAUCUCGAACAUCAGUGUGCACUAAGGGGCAGCCCACCUGGAAGAGUGUGGGCAGCAGGCCGGGCAGGGGUCUGGGUUCCACAGCUCGAGGGGCAGUGAGAGGCUCUGUCCUGUGAAGGCACAAGAGGAGAGUGAGGUCUUCAAUCUCGUGACCUGGGGUCACAGGUGCCAGGCAGUUGGUUUGUUCCGUGUUCCCUGGGUGGGGCCAGUGCAUUUUGGGACCUGCCCUCAGCUGGGGCAGCAUUAGGUCAUGCGUGGGGUUUGCUGUGUUCUCCUAAAGUCACUCCUUUUUGACUUUCCAUAGAACCUGAUCUGGCUUUUCUGUCCCCAUCAUAUUCUCUUCUCAUAGAAACUUUUGUGCAAAAUAUAAUCUUAAUAUUUAAUUAUUAGUAUAAAUUCACCUUAACCUUAUAGUCAUCAUCAAUCUACCUUUUCAGUUAAUUUGUGUUGAUUAUAAAGAAGCUUAUAUGUAUGGCAUUUUGGUUUUGAAAGUUCCGGAUCAAAUGGCUGGAUUUUCUGCAAUGAGUCAUUCUGACUAAUUGUCUAGGAUGCCCUUUCACAAGGUCUGGGUCUGGCUCUCAUAUUGAAGUUGGGUUGCAGCCGUUUAAUAUUUUGCAUAGAAAACUGUUUUUAUGUGUUCUAAGGAAAUAGCCUACAGUGCUUUUUUCAACAGGUACUGUAAACAAAAUGAUCUUCAAAGGGCUUUCAAACACCCAUAUUUCAUUGUUUUAUGUAAAUUCCACACAUGUAAAUGAAGGGGGGACAUGAUCUCCUAUUUCUUACGUUUGGCAGAAGGCUACUAUUGAAGUCUGAUCCUUUCUCCUACUUUCUAUGCUAUAUGUUAUCUACUUUUUCUAACUUCUGCUGUUGAAUGCUCAGUUCAAUUAUUUUUAUUCUUUUCACUAAUGAAAUAAAGGCUAUUAAUUUUCCUCUGAGUUCACUUUUGGAUACAUCCCAUGAGAUUCUGUAUGAUUAUAUGAACAACUCAUAUUUUUCUCAAUAACAUACAAAAUCCAUUUAAUUCAAGAGUUUUGUAGGAGAAUUUUUUUUUUAUCUUCAUUUUAUUGAGAUAUAUUCA